UACGUAGGGGGCAAGCGUUGUCCGGAAUCAUUGGGCGUAAAGAGCGCGUCGGCGGUCCGGUAAGUCCGCUCUGAAAGUCCGGGGCUCAACCCCGGGAGGCGGGCGGAUACUGUCGGGCUAGAGUCCGGAAGAGGCGAGUGGAAUUCCUGGUGUAGCGGUGAAAUGCGCAGAUAUCAGGAGGAACACCAAUGGCGAAGGCAGCUCGCUGGGACGGUACUGACGCUGAGGCGCGAAAGCGUGGGGAGCAAACAGG
rnacentral:rRNA from 1 species